CAAUAGCGUAUAUUAAAGUUGUUGCAGUUAAAAAGCUCAUAGUUGGAUUUGUGGUGUACUUCGGCGGCCUGUCACUAUGUGAUGGAGCUUGCUGAAGUCGCCAUCCUUGGGUGGAUCCUGUGUGGCAUUAAGUUGUCGUGCAGGGGAUGCCCAUCGUUUACUGUGAAAAAAUUAGAGUGUUCAAAGCAGGCUUAUGCCGUUGAAUAUAUUAGCAUGGAAUAAUAAGAUAGGACCUUGGUACUAUUUUGUUGGUUUGCGCACCAAGGUAAUGAUUAAUAGGGACAGUUGGGGGUAUUCGUAUUUCAUUGUCAGAGGUGAAAUUCUUGGAUUUUUGAAAGACGAACUACUGCGAAAGCAUUUACCAAGGAUGUUUUGAUUAA
rnacentral:rRNA from 1 species